rnacentral:rRNA from 1 species
GACGAAGGGGGCUAGCGUUGUUCGGAAUUACUGGGCGUAAAGCGAGUGUAGGUGGUUGUCCAAGUUGGAUGUGAAAGCCUUGAGCUCAACUCAAGAAAUGCAUUCAGGACUGGGCGACUAGAGGGCCGGAGAGGAUAGUGGAAUUCCCAGUGUAGUGGUGAAAUACGUAGAGAUUGGGAAGAACACCAGUGGCGAAGGCGGCUCACUGGCCCGAUACUGACGCUGAGGCACGAAAGCGUGGGUAGCAAACAGG